rnacentral:tRNA from 1 species
GGGUUGUUAGCUCAGUCGGUAGAGCAGUUGACUUUUAAUCAAUUGGUCGCAGGUUCGAAUCCUGCACGACCCACCA